rnacentral:rRNA from 12 species
AAAGAGAGUUUGAUCCUGGCUCAGGAUGAACGCUGGCGGUAUGCUUUACACAUGCAAGUCGUACGAUAGUUUAAAACUAAAGUGGCGGACGGGUGAGUAACACGUAAGAAUUUACCUUUAGGAGGGGGACAACAACUGGAAACGGUUGCUAAUACCCCAUAUGCUUUCGAGUAAAAUGGAAUUUUUCGCCUAAAGAGAAGCUUGCGGCUGAUUAGCUUGUUGGUAAGGUAAUGGCUUACCAAGGCGACGAUCAGUAUCUGGUUUGAGAGGACGAUCAGACACACUGGAACUGAGACACGGUCCAGACUCCUACGGGAGGCAGCAG